AUAUCAGUCAUGCAUAGCAUAUCAAUAAGCGGAGGAAAAGAAACUAACAAGGAUUCCCUUAGUAACGGCGAGUGAAGCGGGAAGAGCUCAAAUUUGAAAUCUUCAAGGUUUUACCUUGACGAAUUGUAGUUUAAAGAAGUGUUUUCUGUUGGAGUUUUGGUAAAAGUUCUUUGGAAUAGGACAUCAUAGAGGGUGAGAAUCCCGUAUUUGACCGUUACUUUCCAGCUGUGUGAUACACUUUCAAAGAGUCGGAUUGUUUGGGAAUGCAGUCCAAAAUGGGUGGUAAAUUUCAUCUAAAGCUAAAUAUUGGCGAGAGACCGAUAGCGAACAAGUACCGUGAGGGAAAGAUGAAAAGAACUUUGAAAAGAGAGUUAAACAGUACGUGAAAUUGUCAAAAGGGAAGUGUUUGACACCAGUGUUGUUUAGUUGAAAAUCAAUUCAAUAAUUUUUGAUUUUGAGUAGUAUUGACUUCAUCAGCUUGCUGCUUUCUUUUCAGAAAUUAUUGAAUGCACUUUUCAGUUAACAAGUCAACAUCAAUUUCUUUUGUUGUAAAAGGGUAAGAGGAAGGUGGCUUACGCUUCGGCGUCAAGCGUUUAUAGCCUUUUACCUCUGCAAUCGGAGAGAUUGAGGACAUGCAGCGUAGACUCUUCGGGGUUAGAUACACUUUGUGCUAAGUUAUAGCCUUGUAUAGACAACUUGUUGACUAUAGCUCAGUCAUGUAGCUUACUCGCAUGAUAGUAUUUUACCUACGCUUAGGAUGUUGAUGUGAUACUGCGAGC
rnacentral:rRNA from 1 species